AAUCUGACAACGUUGACACACGACAUUUUCCUUUGUUUGCAGGAGUCGCUCUUACAAUUUUUCUUAUUUUUUGGUAGAAAAAGUGAUUUUUCUGUACACUAUUUGAGUGUAUUCUGUUCCUUAAGGCCUGUUUAAUCUUCUAAAAAUAAGCGUUACCUAUUAAUAAUACACACCACCACAUAAAGACCUAAAAGAAGAGACUUGGAUCACCUCUUGAAUAAUCCUGAUUUUCCCAAUGUUUGGCCAUAGUUCUGUUUUACGAAUUGGUUUUUCUUUAUCCCUAUAAAUAUUUUCUACAACAAAUCGAUGGAUGUAUACAGUUCCACGGCAGUACAUUUAUGUAUCCUUUUCAUUAAUAUUACCAACAAUGCAUCAGGACUUAUAAGUAUAUCUAAAAUUUUAUUUCUUUUGGGUAAAUAAAUAUAUUUUUACUGGUUUUUAAUGUUCAUCAGUAGAUUUCAUAAUUUUGAAAUUUAAUUAAGAAAAAAUUUUAAUGGUUUUCUGAGUUAUAUCCUUGUCUGUAUAAUCAAGGGUUGUAUUUUUUAUGGUUCCUCAUUAUCAUCUCUAUUAUAGCUUCACUCCCACGUUUUCUUGAUUAUGGAAAUAAUUUUAUUUAUCGUUUUUAUAAAAUAUUCGAUCCAUUGCCUGUAUUUCUAUAGGUUUUGUUUGGUACAAUAUUCCAUCUACUUAGAAUUUUACUUCAUUUUGUUUAUGGUUAACAGUCAUUUUUCUAUAAUAGUUCGGCUCUCAUAUUUUCUUCAUUGUGGGAAACAUCAUUCAUCGAUUCUAUAAUAUCUUCCAUUGGUUGUAGGUAUUUCAAUAAGUCUUCUUUUAUUUGUAUUAGUUUUCUUAUGGAGUCAUUUUUCUAAUACUUUUUUUGCUCUUUUAAUUCCUUGUACAGAAUUUCAGUUUUAAUGGAUCCAUUUCCAUGUCAUUUUCCUCAAAUCAUAUGCCAUGAAUCUCUGUAAUUUUACGGAUUUUAUUUGUUUAUUUUGUAUGUCUUUAAAUAUAAUUUAAACACGAUAGCACUUAAAAAUCUCACAAUCAGGAUUAAUUUCCGAUCAAUUCCUGGCGCAUUCGCCUUUUAGUAAAAAACUGACGUCCACAGAUGAUGUCACUUCUGGCUUUUCUAGCAUUUUGCUAAUGCAUUUUCCUGAGUAACAUCGACUCCAGAGCAUCAUGCUAGCCUUCCGAAAGAGGAGCAGACCCGGGUCGCCCCCUAACCCUGAUGUUCGGCCAUCGAUGACCUAUGUAGCAUGCAUAGAUACCCAAGGGAGUCACCACCCUCUGGUUAUCAAAUUGAGCAUUGAAGAGGAACUAAAUAUUUUGAGAUUCUGUACAACAAAUCGAUGACUAUACAGUUCCAGGGCAGUAGAUUUAUCCUUCUUGAUGAAUAUUACCUACAAUAUGCAUCAGGACUUAUAAGUAUAUCUAAAAUUUUUUUGAUUAAUAAAUCAUUUAUAUUUGAUUUAUGAUUGAAUAGUACUACCAUGA